rnacentral:rRNA from 1 species
GAUGAACGCUGGCGGCGUGCCUAAUACAUGCAAGUCGAGCGAACGGACGAGAAGCUUGCUUCUCUGAUGUUAGCGGCGGACGGGUGAGUAACACGUGGAUAACCUACCUAUAAGACUGGGAUAACUUCGGGAAACCGGAGCUAAUACCGGAUAAUAUUUUGAACCGCAUGGUUCAAAAGUGAAAGACGGUCUUGCUGUCACUUAUAGAUGGAUCCGCGCUGCAUUAGCUAGUUUGUAAGGUAACGGCUUACCAAGGCAACGAUGCAUAGCCGACCUGAGAGGGUGAUCGGCCACACUGGAACUGAGACACGGUCCAGACUCCUACGGGAGGCAGCAGUAGGGAACCUUCCGCAAUGGGCGAAAGCCUGACGGAGCAACGCCGCGUGAGUGAUGAAGGUCUUCGGACCGUAAAACUCUGUUAUUAGGGAAGAACAUAUGUGUAAGUAACUGUGCACAUCUUGACGGUACCUAAUCAGAAAGCCACGGCUAACUACGUG